CCUACGGGUGGCAGCAGUGAGGGAUAUUGGUCAAUGGGGGAAACCCUGAACCAGCAACGCCGCGUGAGGGAAGACGGCUUUCGGAUUUUAAACCUCUGUCCACUGUGAAGAAAAUGACGGUAGCAGAGGAGGAAGGUACGGCUAACUUCGUGCCAGCAGCCGCGGGAAUACGUAGGGAGCAAGCGUUGUCCGGAUUUUCUGGGUGUUAAGGGAGCGUAGGCGGCCCGGCAAGUCCGGAGUGAAAUCCAUGGGCUUAACCGGGGAACUGCAGUUGAAACUGUAGGGCUUGAGUGAAGUAGAGGCAGGCGGAAUUCCUGGUGUAGCGGUGAAAUGCGUAGAGAUCAGGAGGAACACCAGUGGCGAAGGCGGCCUACUGGACUUUAACUGACGCUGAAGCACGAAAGCGUGGGUAGCAAACAGGAUUAGAUACCCGGGUAGUC
rnacentral:rRNA from 1 species